rnacentral:rRNA from 1 species
AAGACCUUGCGCUUUUGGAGCGGCCGAUGCCUGAUUAGCUUGUUGGUAAGGUAAAAGCUUACCAAGGCUUCGAUCAGUAGCUGGUCUGAGAGGACGGCCAGCCACACUGGGACUGAGACACGGCCCAGACUCCUACGGGAGGCAGCAGUGGGGAAUUUUGGACAAUGGGCGCAAGCCUGAUCCAGCCAUGCCGCGUGAGUGAAGAAGGCCUUCGGGUUGUAAAGCUCUUUCAGCCGGGAAGAAAAGGCUACGACGAAUAAUCGUAGCUCAUGUCGGUACCGGAAGAAGAAGCACCGGCUAACUACGUGCCAGCAGCCGCGGUAAUACGUAGGGUGCGAGCGUUAAUCGGAAUUACUGGGCGUAAAGGGUGCGCAGGCGGUUUUGUAAGUCAGAUGUGAAAUCCCCGGGCUUAACCUGGGAACU